rnacentral:misc_RNA from 1 species
CCCCUAAAAUUUAUUCUACACUCAUUGUCUCUGAUCAUACAUUAACUCAAUAGCGGAAAACAUUACAUGAUAUCCCAUCACGAGGGUGAUGUCAAACACCAUAUACACAAAAUACUUGAAAAAUACAAAUCCCAGUGUCUUUGAACAUGCACUCAUAACUCUCUGUGUACCAAAAGAAUUUCAACUUUCGAACUUUCAGUAAAGGUAUGUCACAAACUGCCACUUUCAGCAGCAACCUUAUCCUUGUAUGUUUCUGAGGCGGAUGCCAACUCCACUGUUAGAUUCUCAAACUUCUCCUUCAAUGUCAUGGCAUCUAAAGCAGAAAGAAUCUUCUCCUUGAUUUCACAUUCUAAUUUUUCAACUUUUCCUGAACUUGAACCUUCCGUUAUCUCUGAUCUCAACUCCUCAAUUUUGUUACUAAGGCCUGCUGCAUCUAUCGCUCUUUCAAUUUCCUCUGAGAUUUCUUUAUUAACUCUCUCUAUUUUCUCUCGUAAAGCAGGAGGUGGAGUUGCCACAUUUCUCUUGGCUACUUCAACAAUCUGCAACCCAGAUGACUUCAGAACUUUCAUCAGCUCUUUCUUAGCUUUUUCUGCUUCCUCCACCAAAUCCUUAUCUAAUGGGUCCCCUUUGGACAACUUUUCUUCAGCAUUUUUUAGAAGUUCCAUCCUUGCUUUUAAAUCCUCNUUCUGGUUAAUCUCUGCUUUUAGUUUCUCAUUUCUGUCUUUUAGCUCGUUAAGCCGAUGAACGAGGUUCAACUUUUCAAGCUUCUGCUUUAGCCCAAGAUAAGCUCCUGGUCGUGACAGAUUAUGCUUAAAUUCUUCCAUUAUUUUGUCUGCCUUCUCCUUUAAGUUACAAUUGAUGGGCUGAUCAGGUGGACGAUUCGGGGCUUUAGAUAACUCCAACUUGACUGAUUCAAGCUUUUCCUGCAAGCCCAUUGAAAUAAAAGCAUUGGUUAUCUCAUUGUCUAUAUCUUGCUUGAGCUUCUCAAUUGCGUCACUCGAAAUUGGAUCAGAUGAUGGUCUUCUGGAUUCUAGAAUCUUCUUCUUCAAAUUUUCAAGCUCCAGCUCUAUAUCAGCCGUCUUUGGCUGGUUGGCCUCAGAUGGCUUCAUGUUGCGUUUCCUCUCUGGCUCAACUGGGAUACCUUCUUGAAAGCCUCCAAUAUAUCUGAACUUACGCAUUCGGUGACGGAGCAACUCUUCCUUGUCCAUAUUCCCUAGUUCCUCCAUGGCUUGGAUAAUUGCAAGCUUAAUUUGUUGGGAAGUCCACAUAGGAUCUGCAUGUGCACCUCCUAGAGGCUCAGGAAUGAUGCCAUCGGCAAUUUUGAGCCUGUAAUGUUCUUGAGCUGUUAUCCUUAGUUUCUCAGCUGCCUUUGGAGCUGCUUGGGAAGACUUCCAUAAUAUUGCAGCACAUGCUUCAGGACUUGCAACAUAGAAAGCGGAAUUCUCCAGCAUAAACAGUUUAUUGGCACAAGCAAUAGCAAGAGCUCCACCUGAACCACCUUCGCCAGUUACAACUGUCAGAAUAGGCACUUUCAGGCCAAACA